rnacentral:rRNA from 1 species
UGGGGAAUAUUGCGCAAUGGGGGAAACCCUGACGCAGCGACGCCGCGUGCGGGAUGAAGGCCUUCGGGUUGUAAACCGCUUCUGAUUGGGAGCAAGCUUUCGGGUGAGUGUACCUUUCGAAUAAGCGCCGGCUAACUACGUGCCAGCAGCCGCGGUAAUACGUAGGGCGCAAGCGUUAUCCGGAAUUAUUGGGCGUAAAGAGCUUGUAGGCGGUUCGUUGCGUCUGGUGUGAAAGCCCAUCGCUUACGGUGGGUUUGCGCCGGGUACGGACGGGCUGGAGUGCAGUAGGGGGGGCUGGAAUUCUCGGUGUAACGGUGGAAUGUGUAGAUAUCGGGAAGAACACCAAUGGCGAAGGCAGGUCUCUGGGCUGUUACUGACGCUGAGAAGCGAAAGCGUGGGGAGCGAACAGG